rnacentral:rRNA from 1 species
UACGGAGGGUGCGAGCGUUGUCCGGAAUCACUGGGCGUAAAGGGCGCGUAGGCGGCUUCUCAAGCGUGUGGUGAAAGUCCGGGGCUCAACCCCGGAUCGGCCGUGCGGACUGGGGAGCUCGAGUUCUGUAGAGGCGGGUGGAAUUCCGGGUGUAGCGGUGGAAUGCGUAGAGAUCCGGAAGAACACCGGUGGCGAAGGCGGCCCGCUGGGCAGAGACUGACGCUGAUGCGCGACAGCGUGGGGAGCAAACAGG